AGCCAUCCAGUCAGUCAGUCAGCCACUCAGCCAGCCAAUCACCCAUCCACCCAGCCAAUCACCCAUCCAACCAGUCAGCCAGCCAGCCACCCAGUCACCCAGUCACCAAGCCAACCAUUCACAUACACAUCCAGCCAGCCAAUCACCCAGCCAGCCAGCCAGUCACACAGCCAAUCACCCAUCCAGUCAGCCAGUCUGCCAGUCACCCAGCCAGCCAGUCUCCCAGUCAGCCAGUCACCUAGCCAGUCACCUAGCCAGUCACCCAGCCAGUCAGCCAAUCACCCAUCCAGCCAGCCAGUCUGCCAGUCACCCAGCCAGCCAGCCAGCCAGUCAGCCAGUCACCCAGCCAGGAAUCCAGCGAGUCAGGCAGUCACCCAGCCAGCCAGUCAGCCAGGAAGCCAGAGAGUCAGCCAGGCAGUCAGCCAGUCACCCAGCCAGGAAGCCAGAGUCAGUCAGGCAGUCACCCAGCCUGUCAGCCAGUCAACCAGCCAGGAAGCCAGAGAGUCAGCCAGGCAGUCACACAGCCAGUCAGCCAGGCAGCCAGGCAGGAAGCCAGAGAGUCAGCCAGGCAGUAAAGAGCAGCAUUAAGAUGAAUAGUACACAGCUGUUUUCCUUGACCACCAACUUCAAACACAGAGCAGUUUUUUCCCCAAAUAAAAGGUUUGGUCAAGCAGAUCUCCCCGGUCUGUCGGUCGGCAGGAACUCUUUAAGCAUUUGGUAAAAUGUUUACACUUGAUUUAAUGGGGGACUUUUAAUCAAAAUCCCCCCCCUCCCCUUAACCCCAGACAUGCCACAAGUCAAAUGUGUGUGGGUGGCACAUGCUAUUCUGUUGGCAUGGCGAUGUGUUUGAUGUUUGUAGAAAAAAGCUUUUAGGUUUUCUGGACUUUUUUCUGCUGUCAGCUUUGGUCACUGU
rnacentral:lncRNA from 1 species